rnacentral:pre_miRNA from 1 species
CGUUGUCUGUCGCUCCUCCUUUUCCAUUUCGGCGGUUGCCACGAGGAGCGACCGCCGAAAUGGAAAAGGUGGAGCGACAGACAACG